rnacentral:rRNA from 1 species
GAUGAACGCUGGCGGCGUGCCUAAUACAUGCAAGUCGAGCGAACGGACGAGAAGCUUGCUUCUCUGAUGUUAGCGGCGGAUGGGUGAGUAACACGUGGAUAACCUACCUAUAAGACUGGGAUAACUUCGGGAAACCGGAGCUAAUACCGGAUAAUAUUUUGAACCGCAUUGUUCAAAAGUGAAAGACGGUCUUGCUGUCACUUAUAGAUGGAUCCGCGCUGCAUUAGCUAGUUGGUCAGGUAACGGCCUACCAAGGCAACGAUGCAUAGCCGACCUGAGAGGGUGAUCGGCCACACUGGAACUGAGACGCGGUCCAGACUCCUACGGGACGCAGCAGUAGGGAAUCUUCCGCAAUGCGCGAAAGCCUGACGGAGCAACGCCGCGUGAGUGAUGAGGGUCUUCGGAUCGUAAAACUCUGUUAUUAGGGAAGAACAUAUGUGUAAGUAACUGUGCGCAUCUUGACGGUACCUAAUCAGAAAGCCACGGCUAACUACGUG